UACGUAGGGGGCAAGCGUUGUUCGGAAUUACUGGGCGUAAAGGGCGCGUAGGCGGCACGGCAAGUCAGGAGUGAAAGGCCUGGGCUCAACCGAGGAACUGCUUUUGAGACUGCCGAGCUAGAGUGCAGAAGGGGCAACUGGAAUUCCCAGUGUAGCGGUGAAAUGCGUAGAUAUUGGGAAGAACACCUGAGGCGAAGGCGGGUUGCUGGGCUGACACUGACGCUGAGGCGCGGAAGCCAGGGGAGCAAACGGG
rnacentral:rRNA from 1 species